rnacentral:rRNA from 1 species
GACGAACGCUGGCGGCGUGCUUAACACAUGCAAGUCGAGCGGAGCGGCGAACGGGCGAGUAACGCGUGAGUAACUGCCCCCCUCUCUGGGAUAACAGUUGGAAACGGCUGAUAAUACCGGAUAGUGUGGGAUGACUCGGUGCCUAUCAGCUUGUUGGUGGGGUAGUGGCCUACCAAGUCGACGACGGGUAGCCGGCCUGGGAGGGCGAACGGCCACAUUGGGCUGAGAUACGGCCCAAACGCCAACGGGGGGCAGCGGUGGGGAAUAUUACACAAUGGGGGAAACCCUGAUGCAGCGACGCCGCGUGCGGGAAGACGGCCUUCGGGUUAGAAACCGCUUUCAGCCAUGACGCGGUAGUGGCAGAAGAAGCACCGGCUAACUACGUGCCAGCAGCCGCGGUAAUAC